rnacentral:misc_RNA from 1 species
GAAUCACUUCGAUGAAAUU